rnacentral:ncRNA from 1 species
UUCUUAUCCAGAAAGGUGGAGGGACUGGCCCGACGAAACCUUAGCAGCAGACUUAGAGAAGUACUGUGCUAAUUCCAGAAGCGAUUGGCUUGUAGAUAAGAA